rnacentral:lncRNA from 1 species
CACAAUCCUAAUCUUUCUAUCUUAAUUUCUCACAACCGUAUUUUCUUCUCCUUCUUCUUCCUCAUUAAUUUCUCAAAGACAUGCAAAUAUUUCAUGUGUCCAAACUCUAAUCUUUCUCCCUAACAUCUCACAAUUGUAUCUUCUUCUCCUUCUCCCUUAUUAAUUGCUCAAAAGACAUGCAAAUAUUCCAUGUGUCCAACAUGCAAAUAUUCCAUGUUUCUCUAUAAAUACCAACAAUCAUCAUUUAUCUUGCCAAAAAAAUGGCUCUCUCAGGUGAACAUACAUACUAGCAUUUUUUUUUAACUACAUAUCUUGCUUUUUUAUUAUUAGUCUUGCUCAUGUUUUUUGGUCUUACCAUUUGUAUGUAUAGGAAUUUGUAUGAUUGUGAUAACUUUGCAGUGGUUUCUCCAUGACAUUAUAAAAGUACUAUCUGGAUUGUAAGUGACUUCUUUUUAUCAGUUUUCAUGUACUAUAGUUGUCAAUAUAAUUGUUGUUUUCUGUUCAUUUAAAUUUAGAAGACUCGAAAAAAAGUUCUUUUAAAGCUUCAUAUUUAUAUAUUUUAUCACAAAUUUGCUUACUAGAUUGUGAGGUUUGUUGUUAAUCUCAUUGUAAGUGUCACUCUUGGAUUGUCAGCUCUUAAUGUUAUUGGAGACAAGAAAUUGAAGCUCAAAUUUGGAG